GAUGAAUUUUCUCAGCCACAUCGCUUCUUUGGCAGCAUCUGAUGCAGCGGCAUACUCUGUCUCGCAAACUGAAUCAGCCACAGUGUGCUGCUUAGAACUCUUCCAGUAGACAGCCCCACCAUUAAGGGUAAAAAUAAAUCUCGACACACUCUUACUGUCAUCGUGAUCAGACUAGAAACUAGAGUCUGUAAAUCCUAUAAGUCUCA
rnacentral:lncRNA from 1 species